rnacentral:lncRNA from 1 species
AAUUGAAAAGGGACUUUUCUACCAGGUCUGACCUUUUAAGUUAAAAUCUGAACUGUUCCAAGUGGAACAAAAAAAGUUGCAAUCUGUGCCCUUCCCUGGGGAGAUUCCUCUAGGACUGGUUAGGGAGGGGUGGAAAUGACUCUUAGGCAAUGGGAGGGCGAGCUCUUAGAAAGGAGGGAAUGGUGGGGUGAAGGCAUUCUGGAGAUGCUCGGGGGGUGGGGUUGCCCCUUCUGCAGGGGUUGAGGGAGGGGAGCAGUUGAACGGGUCUGGGGAAAAGGGAGAGGCUUUCAGCUGCUUUGCAAA